UCGUAAUCAAUAAUUAAACGCAGAAAACAUUAAAGUUGAUCCCGCUCUUCGUGGCCUGUGAGAGGCUGCACUGCUCUUCAUCUUCCUGUUUGUCCCCCCAGGUCUCGUUGCUGUCCUCCCAGGCGAGACUCAAAAGCAACACACCUUGUGAACAUGAGCAGCCAAGCAUCAGAGCGGUACUUCACAGGCCGUCCUCCUCCCCGUUCUCUCAAGGGCCCCAACAUAAUGCGGUCCUCUCCUCUGGUCCCAGCCUCCUCCCCCAAGUACACCCACUGCACAGGAGCACAGGAGAUGAACUCACCAGACAGGUGCCAUACUGCUCACCAGAAUGACAAUUUGCCUUUUGGAAAUCAGCCUCUGGCUCCAUUGUGUUCCCUGAAAUUGAGUUAGCCCAUCAGCAGACACUCAACAGCUCCCUCCUGUCCCCUCCC